CAUGGGACCUCUUGGAGACAUGGUCACCAGAGACAAGAAGAUGCAUCUGGAAGCCAAAGGAGUGGGCCUGAAAGUCCAGCACAAAUGAGAAAAAGAAGUGAGAAGGUUUGGAACUUUCUGGAAAGAAGUCACUUAGAUCUCCAGAUUCAAGAAUUUGAAUCCAGGCAAAGAAGCAAGAAAACAGACAUGCAACCCAACCAAGAGAUUGUGCUUGAGCGUGCAAGAACUGAUUGAACGCAUACCCGCCAUGAGACAGGGUUUGACCAGGCUAUGCCAUUCAUCUGCAAGUUUUUCAAAUUAUCAAAAAUCUCCAAAAAAUGUUUCCAACAUGUUUACCGGAAAAAAAUUAUGUCACAACAGAGCAUUCAAUCCAUUGAAAAGAUGCAAGGCACUGUGUAUGUGUCCUAGAACAUAAACAAAGUCAAAAGAGGCAGCCUUUGUGACAGAAGAACUGAACUGUUGAUUGAAGACUGGGCUCCCGUCCCGGGGCUGGCAGUGGCCGUGCAGGCAGCCGUGGGCAAGUCUGCGCCCCUCUCUGACUCUGUUACCCCUCUGGGGGAAUGAAGGUGAAUUAUCAUAGCCCUGACUCCUGUGGUUCCACACUAUCAAAUCCAACUAUAUUUAUCUUUGAAUGUGUGGCUUACAAUCUAAUACAAAUGUAACAUCCUGUCUUAUCCUAAAGGAUGAAUCCAAAACAUCAAAAUUGAGUUAAAAUACAGUUUCCUAAAUAAAGAGCAAAAAUGUCUGUUUACCCAUGACUAAACAUGAGUGCAGGGCACUCCCCAACAGCCAGAUUCCGGUCUUGUCCCUCUUUGAGGGACAGCUACUCCAGCAGCUGAGGACUGCCAGGAACUUUAGUGGGACUUUGAUCACUUAUGAAGGGAAUGUAAGGAGGAGAGGCAUGGCUGCAGGACUGCACAGGCAGAGCCUGGCUGCAACUGAAGUCAGGUACAAUGUACCCCAGAGAGAUUUUUACUUUUAUUUUUAUUUUUUUAUUUUUAUUUUUUAUUUUUGAGACGGAGUCUAGCUCUGUCGCCAGGCUGGAGUGCGAUCUUGGCUCACUGCAACCUCCGCCUCCCAGGUUUAAGCGAUUCUCCUGCCUCAGCCUCCCAAGUAGCUGGGAUUACUGGCAUGCGGCUCCAUGCCCAGCUAAUUUGUAUUUUUAGUAGAGGUGGGAUUUCACCAUGUUGGCCAGGAUGGUCUUGAUCUCCUGACCUCGUGAUCUGCCCAUCUCAGCCUCCCAAACCCAAGGAGAUUUUAAUGAAAUUAUCCUACAGUAGAAAGAACAACCAUCCCUACCCCAGAAUUAUCAUUAGUCAAUCAAACAAUCAACAAAUGUGGCAGUUCUUGCAAAUUUUAAUUUGAAAAAAAAAGGAGAGAUCACUAAAUUGACAAGCUAAAGUCCAUCAGUUUUGAAUUUAUGCAUAUGUAUAUAUGAGUAUAUAAACAUAUAUUCAGAUAUAUAUAUAUUUCUGUACUGCAGUGAGAUGUUCUAAAUGUCUAUGAAAUUUUAAAAAGUUAUUCAUUUGCAAAUCUUUGUUGAGUAUUUAUAGGCCUAGAUUUAACUGAGCAAGGAGGGGAGUGGGUGAAAAAGCAAAGGACAUGAACAGACACUUCUCAAAAGAAGACAUACCAUGUGGCCAACAAACAUAUGAAGAAAAGCUCAACAUCACUGAUCUUUAGAGAAAUGCAAACAAAACCACAGUGAGAUACCACCUCACACCAGUCAGAAUGACUGUUACUAAAAAGUCAAAAAACAACAGAUGCCGGUGAGGUUAUAUAAUGGGGAAAAAAUGAACGCUUUUACACUGUUGGUGGGAGAGUAAAUUAGUUCAACCAUCGUGGAAGACAGUGUGGUGAUUCCUCAAGGAAUCAGAAAUAUAAUUUGACCCAGCAAUCCCAUUACCAGGUACAUACUCAAAGGAAUAUAAAUCAUUCUAUUAUAAAGAUAUAUGCACACAUAUAUUCGUUGCAGCACUAUUCACAAUACCAAAGACAUGGAAUCAACCUAAAUGCCCAUCAGUGAUAGACUGCAUAAAGAAAAUGUGGUACAUAUGCACCAUGGAAUACUAUGCAGCCAUAAAAAAGAACGAGAUCGUGUCCUUUGCAGGAACAUGAAUGGAGCUAGAAGCUGUUAUCCUCAGCAAACUAACACAGGGACAGAAAACCAAACACCACAUGUUCUUACUUAUAAGUGGGUGCUGAACGACGAGAACAUGGACACAUGUGGGGAACAACACACUCUGGGGCCUGUCAGAGGUGGAGCAGUUUCAGGGAAGAGAGAGCAUCAGGAAGAAUAGCCAAUGGAUGCUGGCUUAAUACCUGGGUGUUGGGUUGACCUGUGCAGCAAACCACCAUGGCACACGUUUUCCUAUGUAAGAAACAUUCACAUCCUGUACAUGUACCCUGAACUU